AACGAACGCUGGCGGCGUGCCUAAGACAUGCAAGUCGUACGGUAAGGCCCCUUCGGGGGUACACGAGUGGCGCACGGGUGAGUAACACGUGGGUAAUCUGCCUUUCGGUCGGGGACAACUCCGGGAAACUGGAGCUAAUACCGGAUGAGCCCACAGGGUCUUCGGAUCCAGCGGGAAAAGAUGGCCUCUGCUUGCAAGCUAUCGCCGAUUGAUGAGCCCGCGCCCCAUUAGCUAGUUGGUAGGGUAACGGCCUACCAAGGCUUCGAUGGGUAGCUGGUCUGAGAGGAUGAUCAGCCACACUGGAACUGAGAUACGGUCCAGACUCCUACGGGUGGCUG
rnacentral:rRNA from 1 species